UAGUCCACGCCGUAAACGGUGCGCACUUGGUGUGGGAGGAAUUGACCCCUUCCGUGCCGUAGCUAACGCGUUAAGUGCGCCGCCUGGGGAGUACGGCCGCAAGGUUAAAACUCAAAGAAAUUGACGGGGGCCCGCACAAGCGGAGGAGCAUGUGGCUUAAUUCGAUGCAACGCGAAGAACCUUACCAGGGCUUGACAUAUACCUGCACGCUCUCCGAAAAGAGAGAAGCUUUCGAAGGUGGUAUACAGGUGCUGCAUGGCUGUCGUCAGUUCGUGCCGUGAGGUGUUUGGUUAAGUCCAGCAACGAACGCAACCCUUGUGUCUAGUUGCCACCCCUGAUUCGUCAGGGCGCACUCUAGACAGACUGCCCGUACAAGCGGGAGGAAGGUGGGGAUGACGUCAAGUCAGUAUGGCCCUUACGCCCUGGGCUGCACACGUGCUACAAUGGUCGGUACAAAGGGAAGCAAUACCGCGAGGUGGAGCAAAAUCCUCAAAGCCGGCCCCAGUUCGGA
rnacentral:rRNA from 1 species